ACCGCGCCUGCCCCGCGCCCUUUCCGGACGCCCGAGCCCCGGCGCUGAGCGGAUUAAUGAAACACCUACUGUGUGCCUGCCCCCUUGCUCCGCGCCCCCGCGCUGUAGUGGUCAUGGCGCUAUUUAUAGGGGCUGGAUACUGCUCGCAGUGCUCGAUAUCCACUAGCUCGUUUAAGUUUCGCAGCCUCUCCGUCAUCAUCCCCAUUUUACGUAUGAGGAAACUGAGGCUCAGAGAAGAGUCCUUAUUCUCUGCAAUACCAGGAAGUACCCAGGUGUUACCUGUCCCCACACUGGUCCUAUGCCAGAAGGUGGAAUUCUCCAAUUGUCCUAAGAAGAUCUGGGCCCUAGGGUGAGUGUAUAUAAAAGUGACAUAAAAGGGUCAUCUGCCCCUUGCAGUCAAACCUCUGUGAGCAGGACCAGGUGGCCCUGUUGAGGGAGAAGCUGGGAAGAGAGAAUCCUAUUGUUUCACUUAGCACCAAACUUGUAGGCCUGGUUAUAACUAUAUUAGUUAGAAGUUGUACCCAGCUGCCAGUAGCAGAGACCUGGAAAAUAGUGGCUUAGAUAAAAUAGAAGUUUAUUUUCACAGGUCGCAGAAGUCAGGGAUUCCCUGAUUGGUAGGGUGGUUCUAGAGCAUCAUCAGGCACUCUCAAUCCUCCUUCCUUUCUGCUCUAUUAUAGAGUUUGACUCCAUCCUCAAGGUCACAAAAUGGCUACUGGAGUGCCAGCCAUCAUACAUAUAUUCCAGACAGGAAGAAGAAGGAAGAAAACAAAAAGGAUACACACUGGAUUUUUGGGAGCUUUCCUGGAAGACCUGCCCUGCGACUUCUGCUUAUAUCUCAUCAGCCACCUUUAUACGCUUGGGAAGUGCGAAAUGAAGUCUCCUGGCUACUCACCUACUCACUCUGAGCAAGCUCUUGCUCAUCAUCCAAUCCCAGUUUCCUUUUACCUUAUUUGGGAUAUUGAAAGAUAAGGAUGCCUCUGAUGUUUGCAAUUGCUAAAAGCAAGUCAGCUUGGUUUCUGAAACAAAAUGCUUUAACAACAGGGGCUUUGCUCGUGUUUCUGGUUCUCUUCCUUCAUCAUAGACACGCAGUGUACCCUUGGGAAGGGGGCACAGGCCUUUCCUUAAGAACACUAGAGCCUAAUCACUGCAGGUGCUUGCCGAGAUAAGAAAAGGUACUAUUACAUGGUAAGGUCAGGUGGUCCCACGCUCUGUGAGACGGGGAGGGAGGAGAUUUAUGCAUGAAUCUUAGGCUGGUUCUGCAAGUGAGCCCCGGAGACAAAUAUUUGUGUGCCCGUGGUUUAUUCAGAAGCCCCGGUUUCAGCCUAAGAGAAAGUCCCUUCAAGGGAGGGGAGU
rnacentral:lncRNA from 1 species